rnacentral:rRNA from 1 species
GAUGAACGCUGGCGGCGUGCCUAAUACAUGCAAGUCGAGCGAACAGACGAGGAGCUUGCUCCUCUGACGUUAGCGGCGGACGGGUGAGUAACACGUGGAUAACCUACCUAUAAGACUGGUAUAACUUCGGGAAACCGGAGCUAAUACCGGAUAAUAUAUUGAACCGCAUGGUUCAAUAGUGAAAGACGGUUUUGCUGUCACUUAUAGAUGGAUCCGCGCCGCAUUAGCUAGUUGGUAAGGUAACGGCUUACCAAGGCAACGAUGCGUAGCCGACCUGAGAGGGUGAUCGGCCACACCGGAACUGAGACACGGUCCAGACUCCUACGGGAGGCAGCAGUAGGGAAUCUUCCGCAAUGGGCGAAAGCUUGACGGAGCAACGCCGCGUGAGUGAUGAAGGUCUUCGGAUCGUAAAACUCUGUUAUUAGGGAAGAACAAAUGUGUAAGUAACUAUGCACGUCUUGACGGUACCUAAUCAGAAAGCCACGGCUAACUACGUG